UAGAUAUAUAUGUAAGUCUAUUUUGUUUUAUAAGUAAAUAAACAUAUAUAUAUGUUUCAAUAAAAUUUGGUGAAAAUUAAAGUUUAAUAAUAAUAAUAAUAUUAUGUAAUAAUAACUUCAAUUAUCAUUAAAAAAAACCCAUAAAAAAUUAAGGGCAGAAAAGCAAGUUUGUGUUUUUCAAACUAAAUGAUCAAGAGGGAAUUUCUCCACCAAUAAAAAAAUUAGACAUAAUUAUAAAAAAAGUUAAAUAUUUUUUAGUUUUGAUAAUUUAAUCCAAACAUUUAAAUCUUAAAAAAAAGUCAAAUUUCUAAAAGUUAAUUAAAAUUUUAUUUAAUUUUUAUCAAUCUCAAUUUUUAACUUUAUUAAUUUGUUUAUG
rnacentral:misc_RNA from 1 species